GGUAUAUUGAAUAAUGACUGGACAUGACAUGGAUAACAUUGCAGGCCCAGACCUGAGCAAAGUGCAAACAACACUGCAACUGUCAGUCAGUUAAACAAGCAAACAAGCAAAAAGUGAUGAGGACGGGACCCAUGACCACUCCCUGCGCAUCGGAAAGAUGCACAGGCUGGAGGUGCAGUAGAGGGAGACAGGCUUACUUUAUCUUUUUUGUUAAAUAAAAUGUAUCUGAUACUUGUUA